rnacentral:rRNA from 1 species
UUGAAAGGGAAACGAUUGAAGUCAGUCGUGCUGGCGGAAAUCAACCUUCUCGCCUCGAGUCACAUGGCGUGGAGAGCCUCAAAACCGUCACGAAGCGUGAAACUCUUGGUGAAAUGGAACACUUUCGUGUCCGCUGGUUAACAUCAAUUUCGAACGUCAUAAAAAGGCUGGAGGGAUGUGGCUCCUUCGGGAGUGUUAUAACCUUUAGCGGAAUGUGGUGGUCGGGAUUGAGGAUUGCAACGAAUACCUUUAGGGCUGUUCCACCUGGCUUCUCAUUGGUAUCCUGGCGACGACAGCUUGCUGACGUUGUUAGGAUUCGCCUUUGAACAGGCUAGAGUGUGAGCAAAUUCGUUAAGGAUGUUGACGUA